rnacentral:rRNA from 1 species
AUUGAACGCUGGCGGCAGGCCUAACACAUGCAAUUCGAACGAGUGGCGGACGGGUGGGUAAUUUCUGGGAACCUGCCUGAUGGAGGGGGAUAACUCCUGGAAACGGUAGCUAAUACCGCAUACCAUCAGAUGUGCCCAGAUGGGAUUAGCUUGUGGGUGGGGUAACGGCUCACCUAGGCGACGAUCCCUAGCUGGUCUGAGAGGAUGACCAGCCACACUGGAACUGAGACACGGUCCAGACUCCUACGGGAGGCAGCAGUGGGGAAUAUUGCACAAUGGGCGCAAGCCUGAUACAGCCAUGCCGCGUGUAUGAAGAAGGCCUUCGGGUUGUAAAGGACUUUCAGCGGGGAGGCGUUACCCGCAGAAGAAGCACCGGCUAACUCCGUGCCAGCAGCCGCGGUAAUAC